UAGAGAUUAGUAUAACAGUACGUUUUAUUUACAAUAAAAAAGUAAUAUUUCUAA
rnacentral:tRNA from 1 species